AUUGAACGCUGGCGGCAGGCCUAACACAUGCAAGUCGGACGAGUGGCGGACGGGUGAGUAAUGUCUGGGAAACUGCCCGAUGGCGGGGGAUAACUACUGGAAACGGUAGCUAAUACCGCAUACCAUCGGAUGUGCCCAGAUGGGAUUAGCUUGUAGGUGGGGUAAUGGCUCACCUAGGAGACGAUCCCUAGCUGGUCUGAGAGGAUGACCAGCCACACUGGAACUGAGACACGGCCCAGACUCCUACGGUAGGCAGCAGUGGGGAAUAUUGCACAAUGGGCGCAAGCCUGAUGCAGCCAUGCCGCGUGUAUGAAGAAGGCCUUCGGGUUGUAAAGUACUUUCAGCGAGGAGGCGUUACUCGCAGAAGAAGCACCGGCUAACUCCGUGCCAGCAGCCGCGGUAAUAC
rnacentral:rRNA from 1 species